UACAGAGGGGGCAAGCGUUAUUCGGAAUUAUUGGGCGUAAAGGGCGCGUAGGCGGCCUGGCAAGUGGAAGGUGAAAUCCCUCGGCUUAACCGAGGAACUGCCUUCCAAACUGCUUGGCUUGAGACCGGGAGAGGUGAGUGGAAUUCCCAGUGUAGCGGUGAAAUGCGUAGAUAUUGGGAGGAACACCAGUGGCGAAGGCGGCUCACUGGACCGGUACUGACGCUGAUGCGCGAAAGCGUGGGGAGCAAACGGG
rnacentral:rRNA from 1 species